rnacentral:lncRNA from 1 species
AUUGUGCCCCCUUUGUGUCCCAUUGUGCCCCAUUGAUGGCCAUGCCCCCAUUGUGUCCCAUUGUGUCCCAUUGAUGGUUAUGUCCCUCCCCAUUGUGUCCCAUUGUGCCCCAUUGAUGGCCAUGCCCCCAUUGUGUCCCUACUGUGCCCCCAUUGUGCCCCAUUGUGUCCCAUUGUGCCCCCACUGUCCCAUUGUGUCCCAUUAUGCCCCAUUGAUGGCUAUGCCCCCAUUGUGUUCCCACUGUGCCCCCGUUGUGCCCCAUUGUGUCCCAGUUGUGUCCCCAUUGUGUCCCAUUGUCCCCCACUGUGCCACCAUUGUGCCCCAUUG